UACGUAGGGUGCAAGCGUUGUCCGGAUUUAUUGGGCGUAAAGAGCUCGUAGGCGGCUUGUCGCGUCGGAUGUGAAAACCCAGGGCUCAACCCUGGGCCUGCAUUCGAUACGGGCAGACUAGAGUAUGGCAGGGGAGACUGGAAUUCCUGGUGUAGCGGUGAAAUGCGCAGAUAUCAGGAGGAACACCGGUGGCGAAGGCGGGUCUCUGGGCCAAAACUGACGCUGAGGAGCGAAAGCGUGGGGAGCGAACAGG
rnacentral:rRNA from 1 species